rnacentral:rRNA from 1 species
UACGUAGGGGGCAAGCGUUGUCCGGAAUUAUUGGGCGUAAAGAGCGCGUAGGCGGUCCGAUAAGUCGGCUGUGAAAGUCAGGGGCUCAACCCUUGAAAGCCGGCCGAUACUGUCGGACUAGAGUCCGGAAGAGGCGAGUGGAAUUCCCGGUGUAGCGGUGAAAUGCGCAGAUAUCGGGAGGAACACCGGUGGCGAAGGCGGGUCUCUGGGCAGUAACUGACGCUGAGGAGCGAAAGCGUGGGGAGCGAACAGG